UGUAGCUUAGCAUCUGCUUCAUCUGACCACUUUUUUAUUGAUCUAGUCACUGGUGCUUCCGGCUAUAAUUUUUGCUUGUAAGUAGGAAUCAGGAGGAUAAAUUAUGGUCAGAUUUGCCAAAAGGAGGGCGAGGGAGAGCUUUCUAUGCAUCUCUGUGCGUGGAGUGUAGGUUGUCCAGAGUUCUUUUCCCUCUGGUUGCACAUUUAACAUUCUGAUAGAAAUUUGGUAAAACUGAUUUAAGUUUCCCUGCAUUAAAGUCCACGGCUACUAAAUCAAAUCAAAUUUUAUUUGUCACAUACACAUUCGUAUUGUGCCGCUAGAGGUGAAAUUCUUGGACCGGCGCAAGACGGACGAAAGCGAAAGCAUUUGCCAAGAAUGUUUUCAUUAAUCAAG
rnacentral:ncRNA from 1 species